rnacentral:rRNA from 1 species
UGGGGAAUAUUGCACAAUGGCGGGAACUCUGAUGCAGCGACGCCGCGUGAACGAAGAAGGCUUUCGAGUCGUAAAGUUCUUUUAUAUGGGAAGAUAAUGACGGUACCAUAAGAAAAAGCUCCGGCUAACUACGUGCCAGCAGCCGCGGUAAUACGUAGGGGGCUAGCGUUGUCCGGAAUCACUGGGCGUAAAGGGUUCGCAGGCGGAAAUGCAAGUCAGGUGUAAAAGGCAGUAGCUUAACUACUGUAAGCAUUUGAAACUGCAUAUCUUGAGAAGAGUAGAGGUAAGUGGAAUUUUUAGUGUAGCGGUGAAAUGCGUAGAUAUUAAAAAGAAUACCUGUGGCGAAGGCGACUUACUGGGCUCAUUCUGACGCGGAGGAACGAAAGCGUGGGUAGCAAACAGG